AGCGUCCCCAACUGCCUGGACUGAGAACCCCAGGGUUGUUAGGAGCUGUUCCGAGAGGGAAAUAAGUUUCUCUCUUAAAGCUCAAGGAGGGCUUAUCAGGCUUUCUGGGUAUUCUGUGAGGCAUAAGCUCACUAGAAGGGCUGCAUCAAACUUACCUGGAACGAAUGGCAAGGACUCUUGACGUGUGUCUUUAACCCAUCUUGCCAAUUAGAUCAUGAAUCACUGCAGGUAGUGUCUUUUCUUGAGGUCUGCAGAAGCUUCAGGAUUUUUAACACACUUCUUUGACCACACUGGGCAGCAAAAUGUUUGUUUGUUGACUUUCUUUUUCUUUUUUAUGAGACAGAGCGUUGCUCUGUUGCCAGGCUGGAGUGCAGUGGUGCAAUCUCGGCUCACUGCAACCUCCGCCUCCAGCGUUCAAGUGAUUCUCCUGCCUCAGCCUCCUGAGUAGCUGGGACUACAGGUGCAUGCCACCACACCUGGCUAAUUUUUGUAUUUUUAAUACAGAUGGGAUUUCACCAUGUUGGCCAGGAUGAUCUUGAACUCCUGAUCUCGUGAUCCGCCCACCUCGGCCUCCCAAAGUGCUGGGAUUACAGGUGUCAGCCACCACACCCAGCCUCAUUGACUUCCUAAAAAACUCAAAACUCUUGACUAUGAGACCGCUUCUAGUUGGAGUGUGUGCUCCAUUCAGAAAACAACCACUCGAGUGCACCUGACCCAUUCCCAGUCCACGUUUCUCAAAUGUUGUUUAGCAGAAGAAACUUUUCUUUUUCUUCAAUCCUCAAACAAAAUCUCACCCAAAGCACCCAUAUAUAAAAAGAGACGAAAGAGGCUCUGAUGGUGGUAGGUUUGGAGGGUUCAAUGGAUCCAUUUUCUGGGCUCCUCUCAACCCCAUUCCUUCUUUCUCAGUCCAUCUCAGUGAUCAGAAUGAACUUUUCAUUUGUUCAAAUGAAAGCAAUGAAUUUCACAGCCUGUCUGUGAUCCUCCGUGCCUCACUUUAUCCUGUGACAUUGAAUUGAAAUCACAGGCUCAUGACCAAUGCAUGCACCAGCAAGGAUGAACCUCACACGUGCUUUGCUGAGUGAAAGAAGCCGGACACAGAAAAGCACAUCACAACGUACCCUUUUAUUCCGUUGAUAUGAAAUUCCAGAACAGACAAAAUAAAUCUAUAGUGACAGCAGAUUCGUGAUUGCUUCUGGGGGGCAGGCGGGCAGGGCAGGGACUUAUUAAGGAGGGGCAGGAGAGAAUAAUCUCGGGUGAUAGGAAAUUCUCUGUUGUGAUGCUGGUUUGGUUACAAGGUGUUUGCUCUUGUCAACUCAUCAAGUCACACAUGAGAUGUGCAUUUUGUUAUAUGUAAAUUUCACCUAAACAUAAGCAUAAACAAACACGAGCUUUAGCUCAUGAGAUGCAUGCUGAAGUGUUCAGGGAUGAAGUGCACUGAGAUUGCCACUUGCUUUGAAAUGCAUCAAAAAUCAGAGAGGUUGAUGGAUGGGUUGAGAGAGAAACACCAUGGAACCAAUACGGCCAAAUGUUCAAUGUAAAGUCUAGGUGGUGCUGUAUAGCUGUUGACCAUACAAUUCAUUAAACUAUGUUUGAAGACAUCCAUCAUGACAUGUGAGGGGGAAAAUAUUUAUAAGAAUUCCAUAGUGUUGAAGGGAGAGAAGAGACAGCCAACCUGGUUUCCUGUUGCAGAAUAAUUUUUAUUUCAGACUUUUUUUUUUUUUUUUUUUUUUUUGAGACGGAAUCUCACUCUGUCACCCAAACUGGAGUGCAGUGGCGCGAUCUCGGCUCACUGCAAGCUCUGCCUCCCGGGUUCACGCCCUUCUCCUGCCUCAGCCUCUGGGGUAGCUGGGACUACAGGCGCCCACCACCUUGCCCAGCUAAUUUUUGUAAUUUUAGUAGAGACAGGGUUUCACUGUGUUAGCCAGGAUAGUCUCAAUCUCCUGACCUCGUGAUCUGCCCACUUCGACCUCCCAAAGUGCUGGGAUUACAGGCGUGAGCCACUGCACCCGGCCUCAGGCUUCUAAAUAUUCUCUUCGAAAUACUUUCCAAGGUUUUCUUUUCUGCCCACUCCUUUAGAACAUUUUCUUCCAUUUUCUUUCACUUUUUAAAAGGUUGUUUUUGGGAGGUAAAAUGUGCAUACGAUAAAAUUUUACCUUCCAGUGUACAGUUCUAUGAGUUUGACAACGGCAUGUGGUUGCAUGACCACCACUAUCAUCAACCAUCAUUUCACAUAAUUCCCUUGCAUUCCCCUGUAGCCAGC
rnacentral:lncRNA from 1 species